GGCGGACCGUGGCGGCUUGAGUGAAGCCGCGGCUACUGGAGCGUCUCCUGCAUCUGUCCCUGGCCUAAACCCGACGCUAGGCUGGAGGGAGCGACUGCGGGCCGGGCUGGCGGGGACUGGGGCCUCGUUGUGGUUCGUGGCGGGGCUGGGGCUGCUUUACGCUCUGAGGAUCCCUUUGAGGCUGUGUGAGAAUUUGGCAGCGGAUAUUUGAAUGGUGGUACUUCCAUAAGCAUGGCACAUCUUUUAUUGAGCAAGUAUCUGUAAGCCAUUUGCAACCACUGAUGGGAGGAACAGAGAGCAGCAUUUCAGAACCAGGUUCUCCUUCGAGGAACAGAGAAAGUGAAACCAGCAGACAGAAUUUGUCAGGUGACUGCUUUUCUAAUGUGUUUUCAGAGCUGUGUAUUUAAGAUUGAGUUUGGCUCUGGGAGAUAGAAAACUCAAAACAGCAGAGUCCUGUAGUGUGCAUGUUUGUGUUUCCCCCAAAAUUCUAAUCACCAAUGUGAUGUUAUGAGGUAGGUUCUUUGGGAGGUGAUCAGGUCAUGAGGGCACUGCCCUCAGGGAUGUGAUUAAUGCCCUUAUGAGAGACCCCAGAGAGCUGCUUGCCACUUCUACCAUGGGAGGACACCAGAAGAAGGCGCCAUCUAUGAACCAGAAAGCAGACCCUCACCAGACACCAAAUCUGUUGGUACCUUGGUCAUAGACUUCCCAGCCUCUAGAACUGUUAAAAAUAAAUUUAUACUGUUUAUAAUCUA
rnacentral:sRNA from 1 species